rnacentral:lncRNA from 1 species
AUUAUAGUUGUUUUAGAGUGUUCUGUCAAUUUCUACUGUACAGCAAAGUGACCCAAUCACACACAUGUAUACAUUCUUUUUCUCUCAUUAUCCCCUAUCAUGUUCCAUCACAAGUUACUAGAUAUAGUUCCCUGUGCUAUACAGCAGGAUCUCAUUGCUUACCCACUCCAAAUGCAAUAUUUUGCAUCUAUUAACUCCAGACUCCUAGUCCAUCCCAUUCCCCACACCCCUUGGCAAACACAAGUCUGUCUCCAAGUCUAUGAGUCUCUUUUCUGUGGAAAGGUUCAUUUGUGCCAUAUGUUAGAUUCCAGAUAUAAGUAAUAUCAUAUGGUAUUUGUCUUUCUCUUUCUGACUUAUUUCACUUAGUAUGAUAAUCUCUAUAUUGCUGAAAAUGGCAUUAUUUUUACCUGUUUAUGGCUGAGUAGUAUUCCAUUGUGUAUAUAUACUACAUCUUCUUAAUCCAUUCAUCUGUUGACGGACAUUUAGGUUGUUUCCAUGUCUUGGCUAUUGUGAAUAGAGCUGCAAUGAACAUGUGGGUGCAUGUGUCUUUUUCAAGGAAAGUUUUCUCUGGAUAUAUGCCCAAGAGUGGGAUUGCUGGGUCAUAUGGUAGUUCUAUAUUUAGUUUUCUGAGGCACCUCCAUACUGUUUUCCACAGUGGUUGUAGCAAUUUACAUUCCCACCAAAAGUGUAGGAGGGUACCCUUUUCUCCACAUCCUCUCCAGCAUUUGUUAUUUGUUGACUUGUUAAUGAUGGCCAUUGUGACAGGUGUGAGGUAGUACCUCACUGUAGUUUUGAUUUGCAUUUUUCUAAUAAUUAGUGAUGUUGAGCAUGUUUUCAUGUUUCUGUUGUCCAUCUGUACAUCCUCUUUGGAGGAAUGUCUACUCAGGUGUUUUGCCCAUUUGUCAGUUGGGUUGUUGGUUUUCUUGCUAUUGAGUUGUACAAAUUAUUUGUAUAUUUUAGAGAUUAAGCCCUUUUCAGUUGCAUCAUUUGAAACUAAUUUAUCUCAUUCCAUAGGUUGUCUUUCUUUUUUUGUGGUUUCCUUUGCUGUGGAAAAGCUUUUCAGUUUGUUUAUGUCUCACUGGUUUAAUUUUGCUUUUAUUUCUGUUGCUUUGGGAGUCUGACCUAAGAAAACAUAUGUACUCUUGAUAUCAGAGAGUAUUUUUCCCAUGUUCUCCUCUAGGAAUUUGAUGGUAUUUUGUCUUACGUUUAAGUUUUUAUGCCAUUUUGAGUUUAUUUUUUUUCAUGGUGAGGGGGUGUGUUCCAGUUUCAUUGAUUUAUAUGCAGCUGUCCAGUUUGAUCAGCACCACUUUUGAAAAGACUAUCUUUUUCCCAUUUUAUAUUCUUGUUUCCUUUGUCCAAGAUUAAUUGACCAUAGGUGUCUGGGUUUAUUUCUGGGUUCUCUAUUCUCUUCCAUUGGUCUGUAUGUCUGUUUUGGUACCAGUACCACACUGUCUUGAUUACCGUGGCUUUUUAAUUUUGCCUGAAGUUUGGGACAGUUACGCCUCCUGCUUGGUUUUUUGUUCCUGAGGAUUGCUUUGGCAAUUAUGGGUCUUUUAUGUGUGGCCCACUCUCACCAUUUUUAUUCAAUGUAGUAUUAGAAGUCCUAGUCACAACAAUCAGACAAACAAAAUAAAUAAAAGGUAUCCAAAUUGAAACAGAAGAGGUAAAAUUGUCAUUGUACGCAUAUGACGUCAUACUAUAUAUAGAAAACCCUAAGGACUCCACACAAAUCCUCUCGAACUCAUCAAUGAAUUCAGCAAAGUAGCAGGAUACAAGAUUAACAUUGAGAAAUCAGUUGCAUUUCUGUAUAAUUAGAAAAGGAAUACAAAAAUAUAAUACAUUUUAAAAUAUCACCCCCCAAAAUUAAAUACCUAGAAAUAAACCUGACCAAGAUGAAAGAGUCAUAUGCUGAGAACUACAAAACAUUAAUCAAGUAAAUUAAAGAAGAUUUAAAGAAAUGGAAAUAUAUUCCAUGCUAGUGGGUUGGAAGAAUUAAUGCCAUAAAAAUGUCCAUAUUAUCUGAAGCAAUCUACAGAUUCAAUGCAAUCCCUAUCAAACUACCCAUGACAUUUUUCACAGAAUUAGAACAAACAAUCCAAAAAUUUAUAUGGAAGCAAAGAAGACCCAGAAUUGCCAAAGCAAUGCUGAGGAACAGUGUUUUUACACAUUUUGUGAAGGGUAGGUGUUAACUCUUCUUUGAAUGUUUGGUAGAAUUCACCUACGAAGUCCAGUUCUAGACUCAUGUUUGUUUGGAGGAUUUUUGAAUUACUGAUUCAUUUUCAUUGCUGAUACUCGUCUGUUUGUAUCUUUUAUUUCUUCCUGAUUCAGGCAUUGAGAUUGUAUAUUUCUAGGAACAUAUCUAUUUCUUCUAGGUUGUCCAUUUUAUUGGCAUAGAAUUGUUCAUAGUAAUAUAUUAUGAUCCUUUGUAUUUCUCUAUGUUUAAAGUAGUGCCUGCUAUAAAAUAAUCUCUCAUAUGUCUUAGCUUUUAUGUACCAUGAUCAUCAUUACAUUCACAAUGAGAGUAUAAAACAAUCAGGGAUCUUCAAAUUAGGAUCUCUAGAUUACAGGGUGUGGUGAUUUAUAACAGGA